rnacentral:rRNA from 1 species
GCAGCCGCCGCGGGAAUACAGAGGGUGCGAGCGUUAAUCGGAUUUACUGGGCGUAAAGCGUGCGUAGGCGGCUUCUUAAGUCGGAUGUGAAAUCCCUGAGCUUAACUUAGGAAUUGCAUUCGAUACUGGGAAGCUAGAGUAUGGGAGAGGAUGGUAGAAUUCCAGGUGUAGCGGUGAAAUGCGUAGAGAUCUGGAGGAAUACCGAUGGCGAAGGCAGCCAUCUGGCCUAAUACUGACGCUGAGGUACGAAAGCAUGGGGAGCAAACAGGAUUAGAUACCCCGGUAGUCCCUGUCUCUUAUAC